GACGAACGCUGGCGGCGUGCUUAACACAUGCAAGUCGAGCGGAGCGGCGAACGGGAGAGUAACGCGUGAGUAACUGCCCCCCUCUCUGGGAUAACAGUUGGAAACGGCUGCUAAUACCGGAUAGUGGUGGAUGACUCGCGUCCUAUCAGCUUGUUGGUGGGGUGGUGGCCUACCAAGGAGACGACGGGUAGCCGGCCUGAGAGGGGGACCGGCCACAUUGGGCUGAGAAACGGGCCAAACGCCUCCGGGAGGCAGCAGUGGGGAAUAUUGCACAAUGGGGGAAACCAUGAGGCAGCAACGCGCGGGCGGGAUGACGGCCUUCGGGUUGUAAACCGCUUUCAGCCAUGACGCGGUAGUGGAAGAAGAAGCACCGGCUAACUACGUGCCAGCAGCCGCGGUAAUUC
rnacentral:rRNA from 1 species